rnacentral:rRNA from 1 species
GACAGAGGGUGCAAACGUUGUUCGGAGUUACUGGGCGUAAAGGGCGCGUAGGCGGCGCACCAAGUCAGGCGUGAAAGCCCUGGGCUCAACCCGGGAAUUGCGCUUGAGACUGGUGUGCUUGAGUACGGGAGAGGAUAGUGGAAUUCCCAAUGUAGAGGUGAAAUUCGUAGAUAUUGGGAAGAACACCGGUGGCGAAGGCGGCUAUCUGGACCGUAACUGACGCUGAGGCGCGAAAGCGUGGGGAGCAAACAGG